AGCAUCACGCCGGAUGAACGGAAAUCAUUGAUGUUGAUUAUUAUGGGAAAUUAUUUUCUCUGGUGCUA
rnacentral:tRNA from 1 species